GAGACCUUUCUUGUAAGGCGUGCCUGGGGUUUAAGAAACUUCAGGGCUCCAAGCCCAAGGCCAACAUCAACAUUGCCAAGGGCAAAGGGAGUUUCGAAAAUUAUCAUCAUGCUGAGCUGAGAUGACCUGGGAUGUAGCCCCUCCUGGUUAACUUUUCAGAUGCAGUAGAUACAAUUUUCACUUGUAUGAAGGAAGCACUGGGAAAGUACAUCUACUUUUCAAGAAUGCCACAGGCCAGAAAAAAAUCCAGAUUGGAUACGGGGACCGACAUGCUGGUAAGAUGGGUCCUUGAUAAUUCACUGAACACAGAGCUGCAGAAUGUGACUUGGCAUAGUGACCUAAGAGUGGGAGCGGUAUGGAACCGUUGAAGCAAUUCACCAAACACGUACAGUCAGAGCUGCAUGUGUGACUUGGCAUGGUGACCCUUAAAGUCUCCUGAUGGCUCCGAUUGCGAUUCUGAUGAUGACCCAUUGUCUAUGCUUCUGAGCGAGUCAAAAGUCUAGAUAAAGGAUCUUCGCUGCUUCAACCACUAUUGCUUGGGUGACAUACAUGUGAAGAAAUUUGAAGAACUGUUGUUGAAGAGCAUGCUUGAGAAACUAGAAUCAAUUACAUGAUCGUUUUGACAAUGCUUCAAUGUUUCAAUACCUCAAUCUCUCUUUUAUACUGUUUUAUUUUAAACAUUUUAAAUAUCAUAAACAAAGCAAACUCCACUCAUAAUUGUAAUUGUGUGUUGUAAUCGCAAUGAAAUGGAUUGAUUAUAAAAAUCAAUGAAUUGAUUUAAAGCAAACUGGUAACAUUGUCCAUGAUUUCUGAAACAAUGAACUGAAUAGUUGUACAGGUGUCAGUUUUCUGUUACAGAAUUGCAAUGAACUCCUGCACACAUAAAUCUUUAUUAUUCAAAUGUAUAGCUCAGAACAGCUAUUUAUCAGGUAUACCUACCUCAAUCAGUAAUGCAUAUUAGAGUUUUCGGUUCCAUGAAUCCUCAUAUCGUAUCUUUGUAUUGAAGAAUUUGUUUAUCUAUUUUCUUUAAAUUUUUGUAUUCACAGGGGUUGAUGCCUUCAUUAGAACAUGAAUAUAAGUUACAUUUCCACAAUUGAUUUUUCUUUCAAAACACAAUGUUACUAGUUCACAUUUAAUGUUUUUAUUUUUUACUUCUAUAGUCAUUCUCACCAUAAUUGUAUUUGGUACUUCAAACUAUCUUAUAAUCAUACAAUAUAAUGUUGCUG
rnacentral:lncRNA from 1 species